rnacentral:snRNA from 1 species
CAUUCUGGUUUCUCUUCAGAUCGUAUAAAUCUUUCGCCUUCUCCUAAAGAUUUACGUGGAGAGGAAUAGGCAAAAAAUUUUCACAAACUUG